AACGAACGCUGGCGGCAUGCCUAACACAUGCAAGUCGAACGAGACCUUCGGGUCUAGUGGCGCACGGGUGCGUAACACGUGGGAAUUUGCCUCGGGGUAUGGAAUAACUCAGGGAAACUUGAGCUAAUACCAUAUAAUGUCUUCGGACCAAAGAUUUAUCGCCCUGAGAUAAGCCCGCGUAGGAUUAGCUAGUUGGUGAGGUAAAGGCUCACCAAGGCGACGAUCCUUAGCUGGUCUGAGAGGAUGAUCAGCCACACUGGGACUGAGACACGGCCCAGACUCCUACGGGAGGCAGCAGUGGGGAAUAUUGGACGAUGGGCGAAAGCCUGAUCCAGCAAUGCCGCGUGAGUGAUGAACGG
rnacentral:rRNA from 1 species